AGAGUUUGAUCCUGGCUCAGGAUGAACGCUAGCGGCAGGCUUAACACAUGCAAGUCGAGGGGCAGCGCGGGAUAGCAAUAUCCUGGCGGCGACCGGCGGAAGGGUGCGUAACGCGUGAGCGACAUGCCCGUUGCCCGGGGACAACCGGUGGAAACGCCGACUAAUCCCCGAUGGGAUACGAUGCUUCAUGGCAUUGUAUUGAAAGUUACGGCGGCGACGGAUUGGCUCGCGUCCGAUUAGCUUGUUGGCGGGGUAACGGCCCACCAAGGCCACGAUCGGUAGGGGUUCUGAGAGGAAGGCCCCCCACAAUGGGACUGAGACACGGCCCAUACUCCUACGGGAGGCAGCAGUGAGGAAUAUUGGUCAAUGGGCGGAAGCCUGAACCAGCCAUGCCGCGUGCGGGAAGGAGGCCCUAUGGGCUGUGAACCGCUUUUGCCUGGGGGCAAUAAGGGCGUCGCGCACGUCCGAUGAGAGUACCAGGCGAAUAAGCAUCGGCUAACUCCGUGCCAGCAGCCGCGGUAAUACGGGGGAUGCGAGCGUUAUCCGGAUUCAUUGGGUUUAAAGGGUGCGUAGGCUGUGCGUCAAGUCGGGGGUGAAAUUCCGGUGCUCAACACCGGGGCUGCCCUUGAUACUGUCGCGCUGGAGUGCGGAUGCCGCCGGAGGAAUGGGUGGUGUAGCGGUGAAAUGCUUAGAUAUCACUCAGAACACCGAUUGCGAAGGCAUCUGGCGAAUCCGUAACUGACGCUGAGGCACGAAAGCGUGGGGAUAGAACAGGAUUAGAUACCCUGGUAUUCCACGCCGUAAACGAUGAUGGCUAACCGCCGGCGACACACUGUCGGUGGCCAAGCGAAAGCGAUAAGCCAUCCACCUGGGGAGUACGUCGGCAACGAUGAAACUCAAAGGAAUUGACGGGGGCCCGCACAAGCGGUGGAGCAUGUGGUUUAAUUCGAAGCAACGCGAAGAACCUUACCAAAUCUUGACAUCCCGGUGACAAAGUAUGUAAAGUACUCUUUCUUCGGAACACCGGUGACAGGUGGUGCAUGGUUGUCGUCAGCUCGUGUCGUGAGAUGUUGGGUUAAGUCCCGCAACGAGCGCAACCCCUAUCCUUAGUAGCCAGCAGUAAGAUGGGCACUCUAGGGAGACUGCCGGGGAUAACCCGGAGGAAGGUGGGGAUGACGUCAAAUCAUCAUGCCCCUUAUGAUUUGGGCUACACACGUGCUACAAUGGCGUAAACAAAGGGAAGCGAGCCUGCGAGGGGGAGCAAAUCCCAAAAAUAACGUCUCAGUUCGGAUUGUAGUCUGCAACUCGACUACAUGAAGCUGGAAUCGCUAGUAAUCGCAGAUCAGAAUGCUGCGGUGAAUACGUUCCCGGGUCUUGUACACACCGCCCGUCACACCAUGGGAGUCGGAAAUGCCCGAAGCCGGUGACCUAACCGCAAGGAAGGAGCCGUCGAAGGCAGGUCUGAUAACUGGGGUGAAGUCGUAACAAGGUA
rnacentral:rRNA from 1 species